AUUUGAAAAAUAAAAAUAAAAAAUACUCAGAAGCAGUGUGAGUCUUUAUCCUAAUAUUUGAUCCCAAACAUAUUUAAAAUAUUUACUUUUAUUUUAUUUUGUUUUUGUUUGCUAACCUUCACAUUUGUACAAAAUGUUAAAACAAACAAACUCUAACUCUAACAGCAGAAUUUGGAGCCAAUAGCACUUGUUUCCUUUUUUAUGAAUUCUAUUCUUCCCCUGGAUUAUUGCUUUCUUCACUAUUGUUGGGUCUUCAUCUCCAUUUUGGAAUCUUGCUGAGGAAGACUGUACUAGUUUGCUCAGAUCCAGUAAAAUUUAACACAGGCUGCAGAUGGUUAACUAGAGUAUCAGUAACAGGUAAAUCUGUGAACAAAACACCCCCAACCAUACCUCUUCAAUACUCUGAAUGUCAGGUAACCUUACUCUGCUAUGCCUCCUAUUUAGGUUUGUUCCUCAGUGGGCCCACUGUCCCAGGGCCACAUUUCCCCAGAGAUGAUUAACUAAUGGUGUGGAAAGGCCUUUCCAGUAAAAGGAUGACUUCUGGCAACCAUAAACUUCUACAGAGAGAAGUACUGCCGAAAUUGAUCAACAUCUUAUUGGCCAGACUGGUCUCUGAAGAAUUUUGGCUACAUCCAAAACUGAAAUCCAACUACAAAGGAAGAAUGUUUGUCACGACUUAGCUGUUUAUUAAAAUGGGCCAUAAGGUCAGAGGAUAAAAUCCCAAAAAGAGGAGUUUGAGAGAGUUUUGGAACCAUCAAGAAACACUAGGAUAUGAAUAAAAUGACUAUGGCUCUUUGUCCCAGCAGCACCCCAGUGUAAUGUCUAUUUGCUCCUGGCACUUGCACCUCCCCAGCUGCCCUGCAUCCUCCAAACCACUGGAUUCAGCAGGCAAGUCUAGAUCUUGCUAUACCAGUGAUUCUCCAAGUGCGGUCCCUGGACCAGCAGCAUCUACAUCGCCUGGGAACUUGUUAAAAUGGAAAAUCCUUGGGCCUCAUCUCAGACAUACUAAAUCAGCAAUUUGUAUUUUAACAAGGCCUCCAGGUAAUUCUAAUGCAUAAUAAAUUUAGAGAAUCACUCGUCUAUAACAUGCACCCUUUUAAAGCCAGGCCUUGAUUCAAUGAUUAAUGCUAACUAUGGGUGAUCAGAAGUAAUCAAUUCUCCCUCCAAAUAUCUGUGUGAUAUUGAAUUAUAUCUAUAGAUCCUUUAUUCCUAGGGACCUCAGGGUAAAGG
rnacentral:lncRNA from 1 species